AUGGGGAGAAAUGGAGAAAAAAUGGGGAAAAACGGGGGAAAAUGGGAAAAAACGGGGAAAAAAUGGGGAAAAAUGGGAAUUCUGGGAUGGGAAAAUGGGGAAAAAAACGGGAAAAAUGGGGAAAAAAUGGGGAGAAAUGGAGAAAAAAUGGGGGAAAAUGGGGGGAAAAUGGGGAAAAAUGGGAAAAAUUGGGAAAAAUACGGGAAAAAUGGGGGAAAAUGGGGAAAAAUGGGGAAAAACGAGGAAAAAUGGGAAAAAUGGGGAAAAAUGGGGGAAAAUGGGGGAAAAUGGGGAAAAAUGGGGAAAAAAUGGGGAAAAGUGGGGAAAAAUGGGGGAAAAGUGGGGGAAAAUGGGGAAAAAUGGGAUAAAUGGGGAAAAUCAGGGAAAAAUGGGGAAAAAUGGGGGAAAAUGGGGAAAAAAUGGGGAAAAAAUGGGAUAAUCCUCUUCAAUCCCAGUGGGAAACGGGGGAAAAACGGGGAAAAACAGGAAAAAUGGGGAAAAAUGGGGAAAAAUGGGGGAAAAUGGGAAAAAAUGGGAAUUCUGGGAUGGGAAAAAUGGGAAAUCCUCUUCAAUCCCGGUGGGAAAAACGGGGAAAAACGGGAAAAAUGGGGAAAAAUGGGGGAAAACGGGGAAAAAUGGGAAUUCUGGGAUGGGAAAAUGGGGAAAAUGGGGGAAAAAUGGGGAAAAAAUGGGAAAAAUGGGGAAAAAUGGAGGAAAAAUGGGAAUUCUGGGAUGGAAAAAUGGGGAAAAUGGGGGAAAAUGGGGAAAAAUGGGGGAAAAUGGGAAAAAUGGGGAAAAAUGUGGGAAAAAUGGGAAAAAUGGGAAAUCCUCUUCAAUCCCGGUGGGAAAACGGGGAAAAACGGGGAAAAACGGGAAAAAAAUGGGGAAAAACGGGAAAAACGGGGGAAAAAUGGGGAAAAAUGGGGAAAAUGGGGAAAAAUGGGGAAAAAUGGGGGAAAACGGGAAGAAAAUGGGGAAAAAAUGGGGAAAAAUGGGGAAAAAAUGGGAAAAAUGGGGGAAAAUGGGGAAAAAAUGGGGGAAAAAUGGGGAAAAUAG
rnacentral:lncRNA from 1 species